GGGGCUGUCCUCAUCACAGAGGGAGGCCUUGGAGCCCCAAACUAAGGGUGUGUUUCCUUUUGUGACACAGAAAGGCAAUAGGUUACCUGGUCUUCUCAGUGUCAUCUAGUGCUCUGGGACAGUAGGACUUACUCUCAGCAGGAAGGUGUUAGGGGAGCCUAGGUGGCUCUAGGGCAGACAAAUGGGCUGUCUGAAUCAUGACUGCUUUGGGAGAUCAUUCCUUUAUCUGUCAUCAGAUUGGUCUAUGUUCCUGGACAGAACUUGAGGAACAGAAAAAGAUUCGUGUCCUGAAAAUGCAAGAGAAGGAUGUUCUCUAGUUCCAUCCAGUUCUCUGCAAAUGACUUAAUUUCCUUCCUUUGGCUGAAGAUACCCUAUUGUAAACGACUAAAGAUGCAGAUGCUGCUGCUUGUCCUGAUGCUGUGUUAAUUGCCCAGCCCAAUGAUGGAGGAUUUGGUAACCCACAUGAUGCCAGAGCCAUCCUAAACAAGAUGAUGGGGAGUCCCUGUGACUGCAAUGGGGGAACAUUUGAAAUUUCAUACAUAAGCGCGUCUCCCAUCAGUCAGUCAGACUGUGGUGCUAAAAUUGCCCAUAAUUUCAUUGAUACCUCUGGGUCCCAGGUUUCUGGGUCCAACAAGUGGGUAUGUGUGCUAAAGCCUAAAAUCAUACCCAUGGUAAAUAGCAAACCUGGGCCCUGCCCCUGCACCUCCUUUUACUGAUCCAUGCAUGCCACCUGCUACACCAUGGUGCAUGAAUGCAUUAAAAAGACUGAUAAUAAGACCUACUGGAUUGCCACCAAAAAUGGCAUUGGCCAUUGGGGUACUUUUGGUUCUGCCUUGGAAGGCACCCAGUGGGGAUCUGAACCCUGUUUUGGCCACUCUGGUGGACAGGCCUUCAUGGGUUCUUACUUUACCUACUUCCCCUUCUUGAACCCUUUCUUCUCCACAUUCCCCUUCUCACCAUUGGGCCUUGUGUGUUCAAUAGGUUCACACAAUUUAUCCACCAGAGGUUAGAGGCAAUUAAGAUAAAUCAGGUUGAGGUAUGCCAACAAAGAUUGACCACUCAGAAAUCUGGUACCUCCCAUGGCUGGGUAUCCUCCUAUGAGCGCCCUUCUUCUGCUCUUCACUUGACCAAUGAUUGGCAAGCUCUCAGGCGGGCUGAGACGACCUAAGAAGGUCAUGGAGCAACUCCCCCCCCCCCAAUUUACUGUACAUGGUACUCAAUGACAGGUAAGAUCUCCAAUUGGGGGAUGACCUAAGACAGGGGCCAAGUCUUACAAAAACAAAAGGGGGAGGUGGUGGGUCCCAUAAGGCCCAGGUGUGAGGCCCAGUGUAACUUCCUGGGCCUAGCUCAAGUUUGGCGACCUGCCCUGGGACAUGACUUCCACACAAGAGUGACUCAGCAAUACUCAACCUAGAAUCGUCUCUGCCUAGUAACUGCUGGAAUGGCAUCAUCUCAUUGGCCCACUAUUCUCACCCCAUCCCCCCUGUGACCCCAACCUAUUCACUCCUGAUGCAAU